rnacentral:rRNA from 1 species
GAUGAACGCUGGCGGCGUGCCUAAUACAUGCAAGUCGAGCGAACAGACGAGGAGCUUGCUCCUCUGACGUUAGCGGCGGACGGGUGAGUAACACGUGGAUAACCUACCUAUAAGGCUGGGAUAACUUCGGGAAACCGGAGCUAAUACCGGAUAAUAUAUUGAACCGCAUGGUUCAAUAGUGAAAGACGGUUUUGCUGUCACUUAUAGAUGGAUCCGCGCCGCAUUAGCUAGUUGGUAAGGUAACGGCUUACCAAGGCAACGAUGCGUAGCCGACCUGAGAGGGUGAUCGGCCACACUGGAACUGAGACACGGUCCAGACUCCUACGGGAGGCAGCAGUAGGGAAUCUUCCGCAAUGGGCGAAAGCUUGACGGAGCAACGCCGCGUGAGUGAUGAAGGUUUUCGGAUCGUAAAACUCUGUUAUUAGGGAAGAACAAAUGUGUAAGUAACUAUGCACGUCUUGACGGUACCUAAUCAGAAAGCCACGGCUAACUACGUG